UGGUUUCCUCUUGUGACAUGUUUCAGCUCAGACAAGGAAGUGAGCGUGCUGAAUGAACCAUCACGGUUUUUUCCCUCCUUAGCACAUUUUCUUCAUUCUGAAUGCAGAACUAUUGGACGUCUGAUGCAAGAUGGAAAACCUGCAUACGCCGCUGCCAGUCUUUCACGUCAGUCUAUUACUUCGAAAGACGGGGCAUGCAGUCGGGUAUUGCGGGACGCCACUCUCCAUGCUGACACUUUGACCGAUGGUGGCGUUUGGGUAGAAUGUAGCCGGUCUCGCAGAAAAAGCUAAUGAUGCUUUUUUGAGGGAAACCACGACAGGGAGAGGGUUCACAGCGG